UGUUCACUUAAUUUAGUUAUUAUAGGUUGAUUCUACCUAUUUAAAAUGGUUAAAAUUUAAUUUUACAUGUGAAUUUUUGUGUGUUUAAUAUAAAUUCUAAAAGAAUUAUGUUAUAUUUAUUCGCAGUUAAAAUUCUUAUUGAAUAAGGUAUUUUAGUUUUAGUUAAAAUUUUUUAAGUAGUUAAAAAUUGUGCCAGCAAACGCGGUUAUACAAUUUUACUUUAAUUAUUUUUUUUAAAAAGUAUUUAUUUAUUAAUUUUGAAAUUAAUUAAUUAUUUAUUUGGUGAAAUUUUAUUUAUUUUUUUAUUUUUGGUUGAGAAUAAAUAUGAAACUCAUGUUUUGUAGACUAGGAUUAGAUACCCUAUUAUUAUGAGUUUAAAAUUAAGAUUUUUGGUAUUAAUAGUUAUGAUCUUUAAAUUAAAAGAUUUUGGCGGUGAUUUAAUCUUGUUAGAGGAAUCUGUUCUUUAAUUGAUAAUCCACGUUGGGUAUUACUUUAAUUUAGCUUGUAUAUCUCUGUCAAUUAGAGUGUUUUAUUAGAUUAUUCUCUUUCAUUAUUUUAAAUAAUAAAUGUCAGGUCAAGGUGCAGUGAUAUUAAAGGUUGAAAUGGAUUACAUUUAAUGUAUUUAAUUGGAUCAUAUUUAUUUGUAUUUUAUGUGAAAAAGGAUUUAAAAGUAAAUUUUAAUAUCUAUUAUUUUUGAUUUAAGCUCUAAAUCAUGUACAUAUCGCCCGUCACUCUCAUAAAAAUGAGAUAAGUCGUAACAAAGUAAUUUUAUUGGAAAAUGGAGUUAGAUAUU
rnacentral:ncRNA from 1 species